rnacentral:rRNA from 1 species
UGCCGCGUGAGUGAUGAAGGCCCUAGGGUUGUAAAGCUCUUUCAACGGUGAAGAUAAUGACGGUAACCGUAGAAGAAGCCCCGGCUAACUUCGUGC